rnacentral:rRNA from 1 species
GCAAUUAUACAGCGAAACUGCGAAUGGCUCAUUAUAUAAGUUAUCGUUUAUUUGAUAGUACCUUACUACUUGGAUAACCGUGGUAAUUCUAGAGCUAAUACAUGCUGAAAAUCCCGACUCCGGAAGGGAUGUAUUUAUUAGAUUCAAAGCCAAUGCCCUCCGGGCUCACUGGUGAUUCAUGAUAACUCCUCGAAUCGCACGGCCUUGCGCCGGCGAUGGUUCAUUCAAAUUUCUUCCCUAUCAACUUUCGAUGUUUGGGUAGUGGCCAAACAUGGUUGCAACGGGUAACGGAGGGUUAGGGCUCGACCCCGGAGAAGGAGCCUGAGAAACGGCUACUACAUCCAAGGAAGGCAGCAGGCGCGCAAAUUACCCAAUCCCGACACGGGGAGGUAGUGACAAUAAAUACUGAUACAGGGCUCUUUUGGGUCUUGUAAUUGGAAUGAGUACAAUUUAAAUCCCUUAACGAGGAACAAUUGGAGGGCAAGUCUGGUGCCAGCAGCCGCGGUAAUUCCAGCUCCAAUAGCGUAUAUUAAAGUUGUUGUGGUUAAAAAGCUCGUAGUUGAACCUUGGGCCUGGCUGGCCGGUCCGCCUCACCGCGUGUACUGGUCCGGCCGGGCCUUUCCCUCUGUGGAACCCCAUGCCCUUCACUGGGCGUGGCGGGGAAACAGGACUUUUACUUUGAAAAAAUUAGAGUGCUCCAGGCAGGCCUAUGCUCGAAUACAUUAGCAUGGAAUAAUGAAAUAGGACGCGCGGUUCUAUUUUGUUGGUUUCUAGGACCGCCGUAAUGAUUAAUAGGGACAGUCGGGGGCAUCAGUAUUCAAU